CUAUUUUGAAAUAUCGCGAGCUGCUAAACAAAUCAAUAAAAUGAAAAUGUUCUACAACAGUUAAUGUUUGUGUUGAUGGGUAUAAAUAAGAAUUUAACGUUGUAACUAACCUCACAUGUGUAAAUAAGGCUUUCGUAAAUAACGAUGAGCGCAACCCACAAGGAAAAUAUAACAGAAAGAAACGCAAGUAACGAGGCAGUUCAAGUAAUAGUAAGAUGUAGGCCUUUAAGUGAUAAAGAAAUUGAAUCUCAGUGCACAAGUGUUGUUAAAAUCUAUUCCAGUAGGGGUGUAAUAGAAGUUGAAAAUCCCAAAGCGAAGAGUGAAAAUGAGAAGAACAAAAUAUUCACUUAUGAUGCAGUCUAUGAUGAAAAUUCCACCCAACAAAAUAUUUACGACGAAACUGUUCGGCCCCUCGUUUCGUCGGUUUUGGAGGGUUACAAUGGUUGCGUCUUCGCGUACGGACAAACCGGAACUGGAAAAACCUACACAAUGGAAGGUGGCCCCGACUCCAAUAUGGGAAUCAUACCCAGAGCCUUCGAGCAAAUCUGGAAUCACAUCAACCGGACCACCGGCGUUGAAUUCUUGGUCAGUGUUCGAUAUUUGGAGAUAUAUCUAGAGGAGAUCAGAGAUUUAUUGAAAAUCAAGAGUACUAAACCGCACGAGCUGCGUGAGACAUCCGGUCAGGGCGUUACUGUCACCAAUCUGCAUUCACAAACGUGUCAGAGUGUCGAAGAUAUGGUAAAAGCAAUGGUUACCGGCAACAACAACCGUACUACUGGUGCCACCAACAUGAACGAGCACAGCUCUAGAUCUCACGCUAUAUUUCAAAUAGUCAUCGAGAUGGCUGAAUCCGACUCCAAAUCUGUUAAGAUGGGAAAACUGAAUUUGGUCGAUUUGGCGGGCAGCGAAAGACAGAGUAAGACUGGCGCAACGGGCGACAGGUUAAAGGAGGCGACGAAGAUUAAUAAGGCUCUGUCUUCCUUGGGAAAUGUGAUUUACGCGCUUGCUGAGAAUUCGGCACACAUACCUUAUCGGGACUCGAAAUUAACGAGGCUUCUCCAAGACUCGCUUGGAGGAAACAGCAAAACCAUAAUGAUUGCUAAUGUGGGCCCAGCCAGCAUGAAUUAUGAUGAAACUAUCAUCACUCUUAGGUACGCUUACCGAGCCAAGUCUAUUAAGAACAAGCCGAUUAAGAACGAGGAUAUCAAAGACGCGAAACUUUUGGCACUACAGCAAGAAAUCGAGCGCUUGAAGCAAUUAAUAAUGGAAAAAUCGAACGGUGAAGUUAUUAACAAUGAACUGGAUGAAGAUGAUCAGUGUGGCGACAGCGAGGACGACAGUAAAAAGGAGGAGAAAGAGAAACAGCUGGAAGUCGGAAAAAUGGAAGUGGACGAGUUGUCUAGAAAAUUAAAGACUCUCGAAAAGCAAAUGGUACAUGGUGGAAAGAACAUUGUGGACAGUGUCAACGAGAAUGAAGUGCGUUUGGAACAACAGAGGGCUGAGAUUGCUGCCAGAAAGAAAAGGGAAAUCGAAAUGCAACAAAAGAUCGAAUUAGAAGAAGAAACAUGUAGUGAGCUGAAACAGGUGUUCGCAAGUCUUCAGCAACAAGUCGAUUUUAAGAGAGAAAAGUUGAAAAGAUUGAAUAAUAAAUUACAAUCCGUUAGGCAGGAAAUUAAAGAUAACCACGACGUUUAUAUGAGCGAUCGGCAAGAAAUAGAGGAGGCUAAUGAUGAGGCAGCUAUGCAUUUAAGGCAAUGGUUCUUGGUUAUAGAUAAUUUUGUACCCACUGAGGAAAGAUCUCGAUUGAUUAGUUUAGCCCAGUUUGACGAUAAUAAGGACAAUUGGGUACUGAAAAAAGAAAAAGUAAUUGUUGACCCAAUGCAAAGACCUUUUGCUCACAAUUACAGAAGGCCCAUUUCAGAUUAUGCUGUAAAUAUGAGCCAAAACUCUCCUAAAUACAGAGGAGAAAAUGUAUUGGACUUAAAAUUAGAUUUGCCUUUGAAGACCACACAGGAUUUUGUGCCUCCCACAAUUUGUCCACAAAUUAAAGCUAUUGUGGCUGAUGCAAUUAAAGAUGAAAUGCUGAAUAGCCAUACUACAGUUAAAAUGCCAGUACACUCAGUUGGUAGAAAUUCGUCCAAAUUGGAGCAAGAGGGAAAAUACAAACAAGCAACAAAAACUGUCAUUGACAUGCACAACUAUCGUAUUAUUAUUAAUUAAUGCAGGACCCAGCAGAAAAGUAGUGAAGAAAGCAGUUAAUUCAAAAUAAUAUUUUUAGAAGAAUUUGUUUGUUAUAUACGACAUUUUAUAAAUAUAAUUGUUGAGAACUGUUUAUGUUAGAAGCACUUAAUUCUUAUGUAAACGAUCAAUUUGAUAAAUUAUUAAGAACUAUGAGAAUUACAUAAAAGCCCAAAGUGAGUGUGGUUUAUACAAAUGAUAUUGGUAUAACUUAUUUCUUGUAAAGAGCGUUACACUUUCCUUUUACCAAAUUGUCACAAAUAAUAACGCAAAGUCUUACGCGAAAUACGGUUAAUCUUAACGACAUUUUAUUGGGCUCAUUUGUCUGUAAGAGAUGAUAAUUAACAUGGUUCUAGUGAAGAUGGAGUCUGGUUAGAAGUUCUAUGCAUACUUUAAGAACUAAUUUUCUGAAGACAAUAUCUAAAAAUGGACUGAAAUAAAAAUGCAUAACGUAAAUUAAAAAUUCUAUACGGGCCGAUAAAGGUCCAUUCUGGAUUGCUAGAAUAUGUAGAAAAUAUAUAUUUUAAAAUAAAGUGAAGUGAUAUGGUAUGUUAAAGAUGUAUAAAGUACAUAUGUAUCAUAUUUGUAAAAUCUGAAUCGCCAUGCACCAAAGUCCGCAAAAGCAUUUUAAGUUCGCUUUUUAGUGCAAUACCUGAUACUGAAUAUUAUUUGAUGUAUAUUUAUAUAUGAAGGAUAUUAUUUUCUAUUUUAUAUUUAUUAUGUAUUUAUAUAAUUUAUUACAUUUAUAGCAUAUUAAUUUGUUGAAUGUUUGUUUAUGUAAUAUGGUGAUACACCCACAAUUGCUUCAAAGCUAUUUAUUGUGGCUUUUUUGAAGCUUCUAAAUUAUUGUUGGUGUACAAGAUAUAUUAUUUUGAUUAUGUAUACUUUCUAAAUAUAUCUAUAUUUUCUGCUAUUUAUAUAAACUAUUUAAAGAAGCUAUAUCCAUUUACUAUUAAUUAAGAGAUUAGUAUAAAGCAGCACAUUUCUUGUAAUUAAAAAUAAUUUCAAUUGAAAGUAUACAUUCAAAAUAUUAUGAGCUUUUGCCUGUUUAUGAGUAUUUAAUAUCUAGUCUAAUAUUGUUUCUGUGAUUAUAGCACUUUGUAGAAAAUUGAAGCCAUAAUUAUAUUGGAAAUUCAGUUUGGCAAUAUUUUUAUAGAAAUUUUCUUUGAUUUUUUUAUAUUAUUACAUCAAUUUCCAAUAUAAUUUCUUGUAAGAUUAUUAAAUAAAUUUAAAAUUAACAAUUUUA